GGGGUUGUGGCUCAGUGGUAGAGCGCUUGCCUAGCACGUGUGAGGCACAGAAUUCGAUUCUUAGCACCA
rfam:Ictidomys tridecemlineatus contig022514, whole genome shotgun sequence.